rnacentral:rRNA from 1 species
UACGUAGGGUGCAAGCGUUAAUCGGAAUUACUGGGCGUAAAGCGUGCGCAGGCGGUUGUGCAAGACCGAUGUGAAAUCCCCGGGCUUAACCUGGGAAUGGCAUUGGUGACUGCACGGCUAGAGUGUGUCAGAGGGGGGUAGAAUUCCACGUGUAGCAGUGAAAUGCGUAGAGAUGUGGAGGAAUACCGAUGGCGAAGGCCAGCCCCCUGGGAUAACACUGACGCUCAUGCACGAAAGCGUGGGGAGCAAACAGGAUUA